ACUACUUUGUUGUCAAAUCCACUGCACAUUUUUCAUUCAUCUUUCAUAUUUGAUGUCUUCGCAGCAACAGACACCUGACCAUUCUCUUCCUGGAGUACUUGCUUCAGAUUUCAUGCUGUGAUAGAAAAUUAUUCUAGUUUUUUUUUUUUUUUACAGUUUCCUUUCAUUUUCUUUUUCAGUUGAAAGUAUUUUCUCCUAGAGAACAUUGUUUUCUCUUCCUAGACAGUCUUGUUCACUUUUAAUAUGUAGCUUUCCUUAUGUCUUUAAUAAGCCACAAUAGACUCACUCCAAACUUAUGUAUCUAUAUUUCAUUAUCAGAAAAAUCAAGAUAACUUUAUGUUCUUACCAUAUGUCCUUAGUGGUCCAAGUAGGAGGUCUACUUCAUAUCCUAUGGUGCCUUUUCCUAAUGGCAUGUGGUGUUUAAUCUUCACUGUCAACUUUCCCAGAUUUGUAAUCAUUUAAUCACCUAAUCACCUGUUGACCAUCAGUAUACUUCUUACUCUGCAUCCUGAUUGCUUGUAAUACAAGCAGGUGAGGACUUCUUACCACAUGCUGUUAUGACCAUCCAUUCCUUUUCUGACAUGAUGAAAUAUGUUAAGGAAAAACUGUGGGCCAAAAUGAGUACUUAGUUCUAAAAUUAGUUUUAAGAUGCUUGAUCACACCAAGGAGAACAGAUAGUAAAAUAUGGGUUAAUUAGUAUUUGACUCAGUGUUCAUCUGUGUGUAAGAAGGUAUUAAAGAGUUUUCAAAUCAGCUAUUACACCAUUCUUGUAAAGUAACAUGCUUCACUUUGUUUAGCAUUCACUACACAAAAGCAAUUAUAUAAUUUAAUCAAAAUGACAUCCUAUUUGAAAGCAGGAUAUAGAAAUUUAAACUACUGGAUGAUGCCACCCAUGUUUAAUUUUUUUCUUGUUUGAAAACAUUUGAAACGUCAGAACAAACCAUAAUAACUCCCCAAUAGUGGAAUUUCAUAAAUCUUAUUCAAAGCACAUAAUUUCUAGGUAAUAUUUAGGAUUUUCUUCCUGAAGUGCAGACAUAAAUUUUAAUUAUAGGGAAAUCUAUGCUACCCAAGGUUAGCUGUUAACAACAAUAACAAAAAGAGCACAAAAUGAGUAAGUAUGACGGGGCAAAUGUAAAAACGUUGUGUAGAAACUUACAUAUUAUUUGUCUUUAAAACUGCAAUUGAUAGCUGAUUGAGUCAAUAUUCUUCUACUAGACAAUAGAGAUUAUAAUCCUUCUAUAUUUCAAUUUCAUUAAUGAUACUACUAACCAAGGAUAAGAUGAGGCCUAACCCUAAUUAUCAAUUCUAAUUUUCAAAUCUCUUAGUAUAGGCUAUGUUAACUUUAAGUAGCAAAAAUUUUCCAAAUCUUAAAAAGGUUCCAUAGCUUAAAGAGAGGAAAAAAUCAGACUCUUUUUCACUUAGACUGCAUGAUGUGUUUUCUUUUUAGGUCAACUGGAGAUGCUGCUCCAUGUAGUAUUCACUCUGUGACCCUGGUUGUCAGAGUAGCCAUUAUUUCAGAAUGGUACUGAUCAUUAUGGUAGAAGAAACAGAGCAUCAGAGAAUUUUCUGCUGGUAAUUAAAUGUUCUCUCCAAAAAUGUUGUCCUCCUUCUUUUCUCAAUUCAUGAAUCAAAACUAGUGAAUGUCCCACUGUGCUAGUUUGUUCUCAUGUCCUUUAACCCUUACAUAUCAACCUUGGCUCUUGUUCACAAAGACUGUAUUUCCCUGAUUUUCUUCCUGUCUGUUGCAGAUAGUUUUGGCUAUUUUGAGGUAUUCUUGAGAGUAUGGAGGGGCAGAAGAGUGGACAAAUCAGAUUAUUCUGCCCAUCCAUCUUCCUGUUUGAGAUGGCAUACUCAGCUGCAGUGACUUGUCUGACUCAUCUCCCUCCAGAGAGUCCUCAAGGAACAUGAGCUUCUGUGCUUCUGCAGGUGGCUUCGGAGGUCUGAUAAUAAUAGCCCGCAUUUGGAUCCUCUUAUCCUGAAGACUCUUUGGUUGCUCUUUCUUUUCCUUUCAGCCUCACAGGCCCAGGAACACACAUGCAAACAAUUUCCUGUAUUAGAUAUCCUGGCUUGGGGGAUAUAAAGAUGCCACAGAGUUUAAGAAUGUACACUGCUCUUGCAAAUGACUUGAGUUUAACUCCUGAAACUCACUGUAGGGCAGGUCAGAAAAGUGUAUAACUGCAACACCAGGGACAUCUGAUGCUUUUGGCCUCUGUGGACACCAUUAUUCUUGUGUGUGUAUGCAUGCGAGCACACACACACACACACACACACACACACACACACCCCUACAAACAUAUGCACACACACUUAAAAUUAAAAUUUAAAUAUUAUUGGCUAUGUUAAUAUGGCCUCUGGAUGUUUUUGAGAGGCACAGUCUUAUUUGGUAGCUCUGGCUUUCUGUCCAAAUCAUUUUGUAGACCAAUAUGGCCCCAGACACAAGGAAAUCAACUUGCUAUGCCUCCUGGGUGCUGUGGUUAAAGGCAUGCCCCAUUAAGCCUGGUAUGGCCUCUGUUUUUGAUGAGUUCCCUAAUGAUAAAUCUAGUAGAAUGUUCAAUCUUAUUCUGUAGCCCAAAGAUCAGAGAAUUAGAAGUUUUUGAUGACAAAUUAUUAUGACUGCCUGCCUUGCUAGCCAUUUAAAAUUAGCCUGAAGUCUUUCUAUCUAGCCAGACCUCAAUCUGAGAUCUAGAAUCUUUUAAGUUAUCCAAAGGUACAGUACUCUCAGCAU
rnacentral:lncRNA from 1 species